AAUGACGCUCUGCGGAUAUAAAAAGCAUGAAGGUAAAGGAGAGUACAGGACACGAGCGGUUCAGUUAGUUUUGCGCAAUAGAUGCAGAGAUGAAUCGGUUUGUUUUCCUCCUGGCUGCUGGUCUUUACCUGUUCCUGCAAUGUCAGGUGGAUGCUGAAUCACGUUUGAGCCGGAGUGUCAUUGAAAGGGCCGUGAGCGCAGCAAAGGCUAAUGUGGACUCUGCUUAUACAUACUCCAGGCGAGAGUGA